GACGAACGCUGGCGGCGUGCCUAACACAUGCAAGUCGAGCGAGGGACUUCGGUCCCUAGCGGCGGACGGGUGAGUAACACGUGGGUAACCUGCCUCAUAGAGGGGGAUAGCCUCCCGAAAGGGAGAUUAAUACCGCAUAACAUGUUUUGAUUGCAUGAUCGAAACAUUAAAGGAGCAAUCCGCUAUGAGAUGGACCCGCGGCGCAUUAGCUAGUUGGAGAGGUAACGGCUCACCAAGGCGACGAUGCGUAGCCGACCUGAGAGGGUGAUCGGCCACAUUGGAACUGAGAUACGGUCCAGACUCCUACGGGAGGCAUCAGUAGGGAAUAUUGCACAAUGGGCGAAAGCCUGAUGCAGCAACGCCGCGUGAGUGAUGAAGGCCUUCGGGUUGUAAAGCUCUGUCUUUGGGGACGAUAGUGACGGUACCCAAGGAGGAAGCCACGGCUAACUACGUGCCAGCCGCCGCAGUAACAC
rnacentral:rRNA from 1 species